CCUACGGGAGGCAGCAGUGGGGAAUAUUGCACAAUGGGCGAAAGCCUGAUGCAGCGACGCCGCGUGAGGGAUGACGGCCUUCGGGUUGUAAACCUCUUUCGUGAGAGAAACGGUAGGAGCAGAAGAAGCACCGGCUAACUACGUGCCAGCAGCCGCGGUAAUACGUAGGGUGCAAGCGUUGUCCGGAAUUAUUGGGCGUAAAGAGCUCGUAGGCGGUGUGUCGCGUCUGCUGUGAAAACUCAGGGCUCAACUCUGAGCUUGCAGUGGGUACGGGCACACUAGAGUGCUGUAGGGGAGACUGGAAUUCCUGGUGUAGCGGUGAAAUGCGCAGAUAUCAGGAGGAACACCGGUGGCGAAGGCGGGUCUCUGGGCAGUACUGACGCUGAGGAGCGAAAGCAUGGGGAGCGAACAGGAUUAGAUACCCUUGUAGUC
rnacentral:rRNA from 1 species